AGAGAGGACAUGAAACCACCAUUCUUGGACUCUGAAGAAUACUAUGCAAACCAUGCUUUUGGAUCUACUGUUAAGUUUUUGUAAUAAAGCUGAGGUUUUGGGAUUGAAAAUCUUCUGCCACAUGAUCCGUAAAAAAAAAAGUCAGUUAUGCAGAUUGGAAAAGACAUGGAUGCAGCAAGGAUCCAGCUGAUUAUCUGCUGUGACUGUCACUUCUGGUGCAGAAUCAUGGACCUUUAUUUGUAUGUUUUGAUUUGACUUAUUACACUUGUGUAGCUAGUAUUCAGGAUUAAAAUACAAUGUAAUUUUUGUCCACAUAUAUUAUCAGAGCUAAAAAAUCAUGAUACUAUAACCCUAACUUGUAAGAUAAAAAUGUAAUUUUUAGUUUUUCAAUUGCUCCUGAAGAAUUCCUC